AGGAAAGGCGAGGCUCUGCAUCUAGAUUUACCUCGUUCUCUUUUGUCUCCGCUUUUUUUUCACAUUUCCUUGCGACCCUGGCCCUUGAGCGACAAAAAGGGGAAGCCAAGGCUGGCCCGAGGAACGGAGAGGGCACAUGGCCUAGCCACAAGUGGAGCUUCUGCUCCGCCCGAAGGGAUGCGCUGGAGCGGCCUCUUCCUUCUGCCACGGUCUUUCUUUGCCAACUAGUAGGUGAGGGCCGAAAGGCCGCGGGCCGUGGAGCUCGGGCCGGGGAGACUCUUUUCUAGCCUCUUGGGUCCCGCUCCUCCCAAUUCCCUGGAGAGGCGUCGAGCUUGCUGGGAAGUGCCCUCGGGUAAGGGGCGCGGAGCCUCCUGCGGCGAUCCUCUGUCUUCGGGUCGCCUUAGCAGGACGCGGCAAGCGGGACACUGACCUGGCCGGAGUCCCGCGUUCUCUCACCAGCUGCUUUGUCCACGAGUUGCUGCUGGGCGUCAGGGGUCCCACGGCCCGGAGGGAUCUAGAGCAGGGGGGCUCGGGGUCCUUUCCAUACCCUCGGAUCCUCUCCCACUCUCUCCACGCCUCGACCCGGAGAUGAUUUCAGGCUCCAGAUCUCUUUCAUAAAUGGAAAGAGUUUUUUUGGUUUGUUUUGUCUUAAUUAUGUAGGUGUUGCAUGCUUGGAAGAGAAAAUUUAGAAAAUUAAUUGGAAAACCAUAAAGAUAGCUUUCUCGUGAUAGCCACAAGGCUUGCUCCCUCAUUCUGCUCAUAUGUCACCCCCUCAAGGAGGCCUUCCCCAGCUCUGUAAACAACCUGUGCUCGGCGUUAACUUUUCUCCCUAAUGUUUAUCACUACCUGACAUAUACGUGUUUCCCACGACUCAACGAUAAGUGUUCAUGAGGGCAGACACUUUUUAAUGCCCUAUGACAAGCACCUAGAAUUGUGCCUGGCACAUGGUAGAUGCUUAGUAAAUAUUUGUUUAAUGAAUGAAGGUAAAAAACAUUUCUAAUACGACCAUCCAGGAAUAAGUACUAUUCAUGUUUUAGUGUGUUCUUACAGUUUUACUGUUCAGACAGUUAUAUGCCUGUGAAUAUAUAUUAUAUAUGUGUGUAUAUAUAUAUAUAUAUAUAUAUAUAUAUUUUUUUUUUUUUUUUGAGACAGAGUCUCGCUCUGUCACCCAGGCUGGACUGCAGUGGCGCGAUCUUGGCUCACUGCAACCUCCGCCUCCUGGAUUCAAGCGAUUCUUCUGCCUCAGCCUCCCGAGUAGCUAGGAUUACAGGCAUGUGUCACCACGCCCGGCUAAUUUUGUAUUUUUAGUAGAGACGGGGUUUCUCCGUGUUGGUCAGGCUGGUCUCGAACUCCUGACCUCAGGUGAUCUGCCCGCCUCGGCCUCCCAAAGUGCUGAGAUUACAGACGUGAGCCACCGUGCCUGGCGGAAUUUUCAUAUUUUAAGUCCCCCACCCUUGGACAUUUAGAUUUUUUCCAUCUUUCUGUAUUUGCAGAUAUGCUUCUACGUACACCUUUAUUCAUUUGCUUGAACAUUUCCCUGAGAAAAACUAGAAAUGGAAUUGCCAGAUUACUUUGUGUACAUGUUUCCAAACUGUCCUCCAGAAAGAAUGUAAUGCUUUGAACUUCCACUUGAGAAUCAAAUGUUUACCUUCCUCUGUUCCUCCAGAUUUGGACAUUUACAGUGUUCAGCCGUUGUUGUGGCAUUCCAAUUCAAUUGGGAAACAGCUUGAUGUAGCGUCCCCAUAAGGUCCACAGUAAUUAAAUUUUUUUUUUUUUUUUUUGGUGCGGUAGUGCAAUUUCAUGGCUCACUGCAACCUCCACCUCCCAGGUUCAAGCGAUCCUCCCAUCUCAGCCUCCCUAGUAGCUGGGAUUACAGGUGCACGCCACCACACCAGGCUAAUUUUUGUAUUUUUAGUAGAGAUGGGGUUUCACCAGGUUAGCCAGGCUGGUCUUGAACUCCAGACCUCAAGGGAUCCGCCUGCCUCAGCUUUCCAAAGUGCUGGGAUUACAGGUGAGAACCACUGCACCCAUCCUAUUAAACUUUUAAAUCAUGAUAGUUACCAUGUAUAGAGUGUUUAUAUGCCAGGCAUUGAGCUAAGUCUUUUACGUCUUGCGCUCAUUCUGUGCAACAGCCCAAUGGGAGAAAUUCCAUGAAUAUAGUUACCAUUUCCUUGAUUUCUAGAGAAGCUGGAUAUGUUUUCUUUUUUUCCAGUAUUAUUUCUAUUUAUCCUUUUGUGAAUUGUCUGUUGUUAUUUUCAUUGGAAUAUUCUCUUUUUUUGACAGAGUCUCACUCUGUUGCCCAGGCUGGAGUGCAAUGGCACGAUCUCGGCUCAUUGCAAACCUCUGCCUCCUGGGUUCAAGCAAUUCUCCUGCCUCAGCCUCCCAAGUAGCUGGGAUUACAGGCACCCGCCACCACGCCCAGCUAAUUUUUUGUAUUUUUAGUAGAGACGGGGUUUUGCCAUGUUGGCCAGGCUGGUCUCGAACUCCUGACCUCAGGUGAUCCACCCAUUUCGGCCUCCCAAAGUACUGGGAUUACAGGCGUGAGCACCUGUGCCCGGCCACACCAUUAUUUUGAAGAGAAAAUUUGAUAAAAAUAAUUGGUCAGUUGUAAAGAUGGUUAACUACCCAACUGGUAAGAGAGAUUUCUAAGAGUUACAGAAUAGCAACUGCAGGAAGGAACUUGUGCCCUUAGGACUGAGGAAGUAAAAAGGAGGGAAACUUGGAAACACGAAAGAGCCCUUCCCCUUUCAAUUCAAGGUGGAGACUGGACCUCAGAAGAGGGAGUGGGUGCCCCGAGAACUCACAGCUAGCGGACAGUGGAAAGGGCAGGAGCCGGACCAAGGUGAGGACAGUGGAACUGAAGGCCGCUGGUUACCUCUCCUGCCCUCCGCUGGCCACAGUGGAGAAGACAGCCCCUCCCUCCUGCUCUGACCUGACAGUGUUCAUCCAUCGCCCUGUAUUAGCGAAGAACAACAUCAAGCUGGCUAGCAAGGAACUGUAUACAGGGUCCAGCUGGGUAUCACACUGGAUCUCACCCAAAGCUUAGAUGUGAUCCAGCUCAGUAUCACAAAGCAGAACGAAAAGGAUGUGUUUGGGCUGAGAGGCCAUACAUUGGUAAGUGGCACAUGAACUGUAUUUUCUAUUGAGCAUUGCUGGUAUAUGGCAAAUUUGCAUAAAAUUAUAUUGAAAUUGACUACCGGAUUGCACUUUCUUGUUCCUUCUGAUAAUUUUUCACGUGUUCUUUUUCUUUCUUACUUUAGAUGGAGUCUUGCUCUGUCGCCCAGGCUGGAGUCCAGUGGCGCGAUCUCGGUUCACUGCAAGCUCUGCCUCCCGAGUUCAUGCCAUUCUCCUGCCUCAGCCUCCUG
rnacentral:lncRNA from 10 species